CAGAGGAAGAAUAAGUACACUGUUUGUAAGAGCCAAUUAAACAGGAGUCAAUGCCACAAGCAGUGGACAUCUCUGACAAUAGAUUAACAGGAAAGUAAAACUUUGGGCUUUAACCACACUUGAGUAAGAACACUCUGACUUGGAAACACUCACAUUUCCCACGUGUGACUGAAUGGCCCUCGCCACGCUGGGAACGGAAUGGGGUGGAGGGGGAAGUUGUACCCCCAACUUCCACUGAUAAAAAAGAAAACCGACAGAUUCCAUUGAUCUGGCGUGGAGCUGGAUGGAUGUCUUUCGGGAAGAAGAGUUUUCAUUAAAGCACAACCACAACAAAGCAAGAAAAAACAGCACUUGAUAUGCUCAGUUGCAAGAUGCAAGAAUUUGGGAAGAUUUGAGCAAAGGAUAGGAAGGAACAGUAUAUUCUGGGAAUGCAGGAUUUCUUCCUUUGGACCUACUUCCAGUGGGAAUCCCCGUGAAGAUCCUCUCUUCCAUCUGUCUGCUGAAACACAAAGAGAAAUGCCACGAAAUGAGAGC
ensembl:lincRNA